rnacentral:rRNA from 1 species
GAUGAACGCUAGCGGCAGGCUUAACACAUGCAAGUCGAGGGGUAACAUUGUAGCUUGCUACAGAUGACGACCGGCGCACGGGUGCGUAACGCGUAUAGAACCUACCUUUUACAGAGGGAUAGCCCAGAGAAAUUUGGAUUAACACCUCAUAGUAUUAUAAGAUGGCAUCAUCUAAUAAUUAAAACUUCGGUGGUAAAAGAUGGCUAUGCGUUCUAUUAGCUAGAUGGUAAGGUAACGGCUUACCAUGGCAACGAUAGAUAGGGGUCCUGAGAGGGAGACCCCCCACACUGGUACUGAGACACGGACCAGACUCCUACGGGAGGCAGCAGUGAGGAAUAUUGGACAAUGGAGGCAACUCUGAUCCAGCCAUGCCGCGUGCAGGAAGACGGUCCUAUGGAUUGUAAACUGCUUUUAUAUAGGAAGAAACCUUUCCACGUGUGGAAAUCUGACGGUACUAUAUGAAUAAGCACCGGCUAACUCCGUGCCAGCAGCCGCGGUAAUACGGAGGGUGCAAGCGUUAUCCGGAAUCAUUGGGUUUAAAGGGUCCGUAGGCGGACUAAUAAGUCAGGGGUGAAAUACCACAGCUCAACUGUGGAACUGCCUUUGAUACUGUUAGUCUUGAAUUAUAUGGAAGUAGAUAGAAUGUGUAGUGUAGCGGUGAAAUGCUUAGAGAUUACACAGAAUACCGAUUG